rnacentral:rRNA from 1 species
GACGAACGCUGGCGGCGUGCUUAACACAUGCAAGUCGAACGGAAAGGCCCCUUUGGGGGUCCUCGAGUGGCGAACGGGUGAGUAACACGGGAGUAACCUGCCCUUUACUUCGGGAUAACUUCAGGAAACUGGGGCUAAUACCGGAUAGGAAUCCUUGCUGCAUGGUGGGGGUUGGAAAGCUUCGGCGGUUUUGGAUGGACUCGCGGCUUAUCAGCUUGUUGGUGGGGUAGUGGCUUACCAAGGCUUUGACGGGUAGCCGGCCUGAGCGGGCGACCGGCCACAUUGGGACUGAGAUACGGCCCAGACUCCUACGGGAGGCAGCAGUGGGGAAUAUUGCACAAUGGGCGGAAGCCUGAUGCAGCAACGCCGCGUGCGGGAUGACGGCCUUCGGGUUGUAAACCGCUUUCAGCAGGGGCGAAGCUUGUGGUGACGGUACCUGCAGAAGAAGCACCGGCUAACUACGUG